rnacentral:rRNA from 1 species
GCAAGUCGAGCGCUCUCUUCGGAGGGAGCGGCGGACGGGUUAGUAACGCGUGGGAACGUGCCCUUCUCUAAGGAAUAGCCACUGGAAACGGUGAGUAAUACCUUAUACGCCCUUCGGGGGAAAGAUUUAUCGGAGAAGGAUUGGCCCGCGUUAGAUUAGAUAGUUGGUGGGGUAAUGGCCUACCAAGUCGACGAUCAGUAGCUGGUUUUAGAGGAUGAUC